AACGUAGGUGGCAAGCGUUAUCCGGAAUUACUGGGCGUAAAGGGGUGUGCAGGCGGGGGAACAAGUGGUGUAUGAAAUCUCCCAGCUUAACUGGGAUAGGUUAUGCCAGACUGUUCUUCUAGAGGACGAGAGAGGGGGGUGGAAUUCCGGGUGUAGUGGUGAAAUGCGUAGAGAUCCGGAGGAACCCCAGAGGCGAAGGCGGCCCCCUGGCUCGUACCUGACGCUCAGCCACGAAAGCAUGGGGGAGCGAACGGGG
rnacentral:rRNA from 1 species